GACGAACGCUGGCGGCGUGCUUAACACAUGCAAGUCGAACGGAAAGGCCCUGCUUUUGUGGGUGCUCGGGGGGGGAACGGGGGAGUAACACGUGAGGUAACUUCCCUUGACUUUGGGAUUACUUCAGGAAACUUGGGGUAAUAACGGAUAAGAGCUCCCUCUGCCUGGUGGGGGGUGGGAAGGUUCGGCGGUUGGGGAUGGACUCGCGGCUUAUCAGCUUGUUGGUGGGGUAGUGGCUUACCAAGGCUUUGACGGGUAGCCGGCCUGAGAGGGUGACCGGCCACAUUGGGACUGAGAUACGGCCCAGACUCCUACGGGAGGCAGCAGUGGGGAAUAUUGCACAAUGGGCGGAAGCCUGAUGCAGCAACGCCGCGUGCGGGAUGACGGCCUUCGGGUUGUAAACCGCUUUCGCCUGUGACGAAGCGUGAGUGACGGUAAUGGGUAAAGAAGCACCGGCUAACUACGUG
rnacentral:rRNA from 1 species